rnacentral:ncRNA from 1 species
UUGACUGACGAGGUACAUUUCCAAAACAAUUACAAAGGUGUUCGAAGGUCAUCUCAGAGUGGGCACAAACCUGUACAUGUGGUCAAAAAACUAGCUUGAUCUUGAUGUUCAGUACAUAUUGAAAUAGCGAAAGCUAGGUCUCACGAACCUUCUGGAUUUGAGAGUUUUCAGCAACCAGAA